rnacentral:rRNA from 1 species
GAUGAACGCUAGCGGCAGGCCUAAUACAUGCAAGUCGAGGGGCAGCGCGGUAGCAAUACUGGCGGCGACCGGCGCACGGGUGCGUAACACGUAUGCAACCUACCUCCAACUGGAGGAUAGCCCGGGGAAACUCGGAUUAAUACUCCAUAACACAGGGAUCCCGCAUGGGAAUAUUGUUAAAGCUACGGCGGUUGAAGAUGGGCAUGCGUUCGAUUAGCUAGUUGGUGUAGGUAACGGCUCACCAAGGCUACGAUCGAUAGGGGGUCUGAGAGGAUGAUCCCCCACACUGGUACUGAGAUACGGACCAGACUCCUACGGGAGCAGCAGUAGGGAAUAUUGGUCAAUGGGCGCAAGCCUGAACCAGCCAUGCCGCGUGCAGGAAGAAGGCCCCUCUGGGGGUUUGUAAAAACCGUUGCUUUUUUGAUAGGGAACAAAUG